ACAAAGCAUGCCAAACAUUCCCUUCCUCGGUACGUCCUGUUCGCCGAGGGAGGAAAGCGGCGAGUCCACAUCACCGACGACCUCGACGACGUCGUAGACGAUGAAGAGGACGACACUUGGAAAGAAUGGGGCAAGAAAUCCUCACAAACCUUCGAUCCGCCGCCGAACGACUUGUCGAAGAUGGAGUUAUCGGAGAUCCAGGCCGAGAUGAUGAAGCGGCAUUCCGGGCCGGUUUUCGGGUUCAUCAAGCUCUGACUCGGCGUCAAACGGACUCGGGAUAUGGUGGCUGAGAUUGCUACGAAAUGGAGUAAAGUUCUGAGAACUGGAUCUAUUGGGGUACGGUUCAUGGGUGUUGAUAUGAGCACGAUCAUGGUCACCAUGGAAAGAGGCCAAGACAUGGCAGAGUUGAAGGAGUUCGUGUUGAACCAACCAGAGGCCUACGAGAUAAAGAUUGGAGAUCAAGUUUUUCGAAGACCUGGAGAUCCUCCUUUAGACCAAGUCGUUGAGAAGCUCCAGAAUGAGAGAACGAGAAUCGAGAAUGACGGUUCAACAGAGAGCAAUAGGCAAGUGAAAGAGGAACUGUAUUUUUGUGUUACCACAUUUUAUGAAAUGCAAUGGAAUGGCCCCUUAUGUAACUCAUAGCAAAUGCAUACAUUUUUGUGUAACUUGGGGUACAAGAUUAGUGUUUAUGAAUUAGGUUGCUGAUUUCGGAACUGGCUAAACGAACUAAGAGAGCUGUUCAUGACAUGAGUAGGUAGGUCAUAUACAUACCAUUUUCUAUCUGGGAGAGGAUCCUCUCCUGAGCAAAGUUUUCACCUGAGCUUCCUGACCUUUUAAUCAGAUGAAGACACGUGUUAUUGUUUAAUCCAAAGGUCUACAAUUACUC